CGGGGCGUAGCUCAGCUUGGUAGAGCGCUGCUUUUGGGAAGCAGAGGUCGCCGGUUCAAGUCCAGUCGCCCCGACCA
rnacentral:tRNA from 1 species